UCUAAAGGCAGUCACUUCAUUUUAAUUUCAAAGAAAAACUUUAGAUAUUUCCAAAUUUUCUCUCUCUAAAGUUCUCAGUUUUUCUUUCGUUUUUCUUCUGCAUUCAUCAUUUUAAUAUGUUAAUAUGGUAUCAGAACAGAGAUUCCGCUUCCGUAUAUGAUUUCCUAUCGAGCGAUACUACCCUCGUACACUUUUGUUGAAGUUUUUUUUCCUCACUGGAGUUCUGAUAACUUCGUCGAUGAUUUACGUGAUUUUCGGUGGUUUUAACGGUUGUUUUGGUGUUUAUUGUUGCGAAUAAGCACCAAUUUUGGUUGUAUUUUGAGAUUUGACAGAAUUAGGGUUUGUUUUCGGGUUUUCUCGGCGAAAGGGUUUCCAGGUUGGAGUCUUCGCAAUUGAGCAUUUUUUGACAUCGUGUUUUGCGCAAGUUCAUUUCUACAGGAGAUUCGGUACAUUCGUUCCUUGAUUCUUCUCUAGUUCUUGUCUAUUAAGCUUUGUAUACUCCUAUGUUUUUGUUUGAUUUGUGUGAAUAUGGGGACUACAGCACCAGCUAAUGCUUCCUCUACUACCGCUACUACUUACAUUCUUGACUCUUUGAGUCCAUUGUAUCUUGCGUCUUCUGAUGUGCCCGGGAUAUCUCUUGUCCCUGUUCCUUUCUCCGGGACUGGGUUUGGGUGUUGGAGGAGAAACAUGGACAUUUCUCUCUCCGCUAGGAAUAAAAUUUCCCUAAUAGAUGGGAGUUGUAUUAAACCUUCUGAUGAUUCACCUCAGCUUAGGCAGUGGAGUAGGGUUAAUCAUUUGGUGAUGUCUUGGAUAACUCAUUCCCUUUCCUCUGAGAUAGCUGAGAGUGUGCAGUACUCAGAAACUGUAGAGAGUAUUUGGUCUUAUUUGAAUAAGAGAUAUGGGACUAGACUUUUUUAGCUUAAAAAAGAGAUAGCUUUCUCUAGUCAGGGGGUAUUUGGACAUUGCUUUCUAUUUCAAUAAGCUCAAGAAACACUGGGAUAAAUUGAGUUUCUGCGCACUAAAAAUCUAAAUAGGUGCUCCUAUGAGGCUAGGGAUGCACUUAUUCAAGAGGAAGAAGAGAAUAGACUCUAUCAGCUCCUCAUGGAACUUAAUGAGACUUAUGUGGGGGUUAGGGAUAACCUACUAAUGCUAGAUCCUUUUCCUUUUUUGGACUUAGCUUAUAGUAUACUUUCACAUGAUGAGAAACAAAGGCAAGUCACUUCCAGCUCCAAAUUUAGCACUGAAUCUGCUUCUUUCAAUGUACAAACUGCUCCUCCCAAUAGACAAUUCACUCAGAGAGUCAAUUUUGCACCCAAAAAUUAGUUUCCUCCCAAGUCUAGUUUGGUGUUUAAAUAUUAUAAGAGGCCUGGGCAUCUUAUUGAUAAGUGCUACAAACUUCAUGGAUUUAACCCCUCACUUUAAGUUCAACAAAGGCAACAAAAUUGCUGCAACUGUUGAGGUUCAGCCUGGAAGCACUUAUGAUCAUGCUAGCUCCUCUAAGUAGGCUCCUAGUCUCACCAAGGAGCAGUACAAACCGUUGAUGCUCAUGUUGCAGCAGACUCAAAUUUCAGAUUCUCAGGCCUGCCUCUUAGCAUCUGUAAAUUUUGCUGUGAAGAGGCCACUGGAAGUUGGUAAACCGGAUGAUGGACUCUACAAGAUUCAACAAUCAUCUGCUUUGACUAGCUGUCUUUCUAGUUCCUCUGAUAUCUCUGUUCCUGUUUUUGUUAAUUCUGAUUAUUGUUCUUCUAUUUCUACUUCUCCGUUACCUGAUGUCAUUUCCAUUCCUUGUACAAAUCAUCCCUCGUUUAACAAAAUGGAGAUUUUAUGGCACAAUCUUUUAAGGCAUAUAUCUUUUUCUAGAAUGAAAGAUAUUUCUUCCA